rnacentral:rRNA from 1 species
AACGACACUAACAAUCCUUCGGGUGCGUUAAUGGGCGUCGAGCGGCGGACGGGUGAGUAAUGCCUAGGAAAUUGCCUUGAUGUGGGGGAUAACCAUUGGAAACGAUGGCUAAUACCGCAUAAUGCCUACGGGCCAAAGAGGGGGACCUUCGGGCCUCUCGCGUCAAGAUAUGCCUAGGUGGGAUUAGCUAGUUGGUGAGGUAAUGGCUCACCAAGGCGACGAUCCCUAGCUGGUCUGAGAGGAUGAUCAGCCACACUGGAACUGAGACACGGUCCAGACUCCUACGGGAGGCAGCAGUGGGGAAUAUUGCACAAUGGGCGAAAGCCUGAUGCAGCCAUGCCGCGUGUAUGAAGAAGGCCUUCGGGUUGUAAAGUACUUUCAGUUGUGAGGAAGGGGGURNNGUUAAUAGCKNYAUCUCUUGACGUUAGCAACAGAAGAAGCACCGGCUAACUCCGUGCCAGCAGCCGCGGUAAUACGGAGGGUGCGAGCGUUAAUCGGAAUUACUGGGCGUAAAGCGCAUGCAGGUGGUUCAUUAAGUCAGAUGUGAAAGCCCGGGGCUCAACCUCGGAACUGCAUUUGAAACUGGUGAACUAGAGUACUGUAGAGGGGGGUAGAAUUUCAGGUGUAGCGG